UAAGUUUUUAAAUAAUUCUGUUCAAUUUCUUGAUAAAAUUGAAUAUAACACCAAAUUUCUUCCAAUCUUUUUUCUUCAGGAUGUCUGUAACGCUUUCCACUCCGUCGAUAUUCCUGCUACUUAAGAUGUCUCCCAUUCUCAUUCUCUCUUCGUCGUAUCGAUGACAUCGCCAAAUCACGUGAUCGAUAUCCUCAUAUUCGUAGCCACAAUCACAUCUUGUGUCAUUUAUAUAGUUUUUCCUUGCUAACGAUGCAUUUAAAUUAUAAUGAUUCGCUCUUAAUCUAUUUACAAAGGUUACAAAAUAUCUUUCCUCGUUAAAAUGUUCAAACCACGGAAUAUCAAAUUCAACAUUUGCCGGUUCCUGGGUGCCUGCUUUUGCUAGGAAAUCUGCAAUUUCAUUUCCCGAGAUUCCAUAGUGAGAUGGAAUCCAUACAAACAAUAUAUUCUUAAAAUAAAGAUCUUUAAAUCGAC